AGCACACGUAGGCUCUGUAAGGAUGAUUUUCCUUCCCUCGAAGAAGGGACAGAUUUGGAUGUAUUUUUAAAAUGUUUUGAGAAAGUAUGCCGGCAGCAUCAACUACCCUCAGACCAGUGGGGCAGAUAUUUAACUCCACAAUUGAAAGGGAAAGCCUUGGAUGUGUUUGUGUCCCUUCCCCCAGAGACUGAUAACAACUAUGAGGCAAUCAAAUCUGCAUUGCAAAAAACUUUUAACCUU